UCUGCACCAGAUUUGCAAACCACAAUAAUUCUCUUUUCUUUAUAGUAUACCCAAUCUGUGGUAUCAUACUGUUAACAACAGGAAGUAGACUAGCACAGUUGCCAAGCCAACUGGGGGUCACAGAGGGGACAUCAUCACAAGAGCAAAGCGUCUCUCCAGCCAAAGCAAUGGGGCCGCAGGGCAUGGGGAAGUCGACAGCCAACCCAGGGACCUGACAGCAAGUGAACACGUCUACAGCACCUGAGUGCUGAUUGGAAUGAUUACUACAGCCACAUCUUAACUGCUUCCUACGGGUCUGCAGGGGGACCUUACACUUCAUUGGUCCUGCUGGAAUGUGCUCCUGACCACUAGAGCUGCCCACUGUGAAUGCAGUUGUGCCACCAAGUGACUUGAGAGUCAGCACUGCCACAUGUGGGUUCAGACUGAGCACCUCGAGAGUGACAGCUGGCCAGCCGCCCAGCUCAGUCUGCAGACUGGAGGUCUCCUGGACACCCCACAGUGUUGUUCAGAGGAUCGAUAGUAAAGUCCCAAACACAAAGGCACAUGUGAGCAACUCCAGGUGGUGGCAGCAACAGAACUCAGCCAGAGUGUGGUGUGCGGAGCUGAGGAACCAUGUGUGGGGUUGGCUCUGCAUGCUGAGCUGAAGACCAGAGCAGAGAUGCGUGAAUCCUGGAGGUCACCUGCUGCACGCCCUUCCCAGCUCGUGGCCAGUGGGGCCACUCGGGGGACCUCUUCCGUGUGGCGCAUUGCAGCUUAGAAGCAAGAAAAAAGCUCACAGAGGUCAGGAGGGCCUGGUAACAAGUAGGAGCUGGAAAAUGGAACCAGAAAAGCUGAGAGAUUUUCACGUGAGGAGAGUCACCGAGAGCUGACAGUGGGGCCUUUCAAAAUACAGCUCUGGCUUACUGUAGCAACCUGGCAAAUCG